rfam:Ictidomys tridecemlineatus contig102604, whole genome shotgun sequence.
GGGGAUGUAGCUCAGUGGUAGAGUGCUUCCUACAAUGAGGGAGUCCCUGGGUUCAAUCUCCAGCAUUGCCA